rnacentral:hammerhead_ribozyme from 15 species
AAUUAGUCGGGAGCUGAUACCACUCUCCUAAUGAGGCCAUGACGGGCUAAAACUAGUU